rnacentral:rRNA from 1 species
CCCUUAGAUGUCCGGGGCUGCACGCGCGCUACACUGUAGAAAGCAGCGUGCUUUAAAACCUUUCCUGAAAAGGAUGGGUAACCCCAGCAAAAUUCUACGUGCUUGGGAUAGAGAUUUGCAAUUUUCUCUCUUGAACGAGGAAUUCCCAGUAAGUGCGAGUCAUCAGCUCGCGUUGAUUACGUCCCUGCCCUUUGUACACACCACCCGUCGCUACUACCGAUUGGGAAAAUUUUAGAGAGUCCUGGACUGAUGAUUGUUCGGCUUCACGGCCUUACUUUCGUCGGGAAAGAAUUCGAUAAUAUUUUUCUAGAGGAAGUAAAAGUCGUAACA